UACAAGGUGUACUGAUCCCUUCCUGGCUGC
rnacentral:piRNA from 1 species